AGAGUUUGAUCCUGGCUCAGGAUGAACGCUAGCAGAACGCCUAACACAUGCAAGUCGAACGGAGAUAUCUACUUCGGUAGGUAGACAGUGGCAGACGAGCGAGUAACAUGUACUUAACUUGCCCCAGAGACGGGAACAACUAUGGAGACAUAGCUAAUUCCCGAUAUGCUCACGAUGGUGAAAUUCCAAUGUGAGGAAAGAUUUAUCGCUCUGGGAGAGGGGUGCACGCUAUCAGAUUGUUGGUGAGGUAAUGGCUCACCAAGUCUAUGACGGCUAGCCGGUUUGAGAUGAUGAUCGGCCGCGAUGGGACUGAGACACGGCCCAUACUCCUACGGGAGGCAGCAGUGGGGAAUAUUGCACAAUGGACGAAAGUCUGAUGCAGCGAUUCUGCGUGGAGGAUGAAGCAUUACGGUGCGUAAACUCCUUUUUGGUAGAAGACGAAUGACG
rnacentral:rRNA from 1 species